CGGGCGAUGAGCGCCACCUGUGGGACUGCCGCCGCUCUCCCCUGGGACAGGGCAACUGCGCACACAAGGAGGACGCUGGGGUCGUCUGUACAGAGGUGCUGCCAGGGGGCGGCCUGUCCAUGCCGCUGGCGGCCCUCCUGCCGCUGGGCCUGCUGCUCCUCGGCGCGCUCCUCGCCUUGGCCUGGCAGACGCAGCAGAACCGGCAGCUGAGGACAGUUGUAGCCCGGAGAGAGAUCGCUCUGCGGCAGGAUGCCG
rnacentral:lncRNA from 1 species